UACGUAGGUGGCAAGCGUUGUCCGGAGUUAUUGGGCGUAAAGCGCGCGCAGGCGGUCCUUUAAGUCUGAUGUGAAAGCCCACGGCUCAACCGUGGAGGGUCAUUGGAGACUGGGGGACUUGAGUACAGAAGAGGAAAGCGGAAUUCCACGUGUAGCGGUGAAAUGCGUAGAGAGGUGGAGGAACACCAAUGGCGAAGGCGGCUUUCUGGUCUGUAACUGACACUGAGGCGCGAAAGCGUGGGGAGCGAACAGG
rnacentral:misc_RNA from 1 species